UACGUAGGGUGCAAGCGUUGUCCGGAAUUAUUGGGCGUAAAGAGCUCGUAGGCGGCUUGUCGCGUCGGCUGUGAAAACCUAGGGCUCAACCCUGGGCCUGCAGCCGAUACGGGCAAGCUAGAAUUCGGUAGGGGAGACUGGAAUUCCUGGUGUAGCGGUGAAAUGCGCAGAUAUCAGGAGGAACACCGGUGGUGUAGACGGCUUUCUGGACCGUAACUGACGCUGAGACACGAAAGCGUGGGUAGCAAACAGG
rnacentral:rRNA from 1 species